UGUCAGAGUUCUUUCGCUUAACCAGCAAAAACCUCAAAAUCAAGUUUUUCAAAGAACUGGACAAAUACACUCCUCGCUGUCUUGACAUUUUCAAGUCCAAGGGUGGAUGUACCGGCCAGAUACUUAAGGCGUAUUUGCAUCAUCAAAUCGCACUGGGGAAUACAGAUGUUACUGCUUAGUGAACAGCAGUCCUCCGUGGCCUUCCCAUCCUCCUUGGAGAUGAGAACAAAGACUUCAAGACAUACUUUGACUGUGAUGAACCGGAACUGGCCAACACCUCCAUUGAGAUCCUAACAGUAAUCCCGGAAGGUACCCCACCUCAAGGAACACACCAACAUUUUGGGUUUUUAGCUUAUUCACCAGAAUUCCCCAGAGUUAGAUAAGUCCAUACAUACCAUUUUCAUCUCUGUGUGUCCUGUAACUUUGUCUGACGCACCCACCGCUAGCUUAGCUUAGCACAAAGAUUGUAAGUAAAUGGCUUCAGCUAGCAUACUGCUCCCUAUAAGUGACAAAAUAACGCAAACAUUUUCCUAUUUAUAUGUUGUGAUUUGUAUAGUCACAGCGUGUACAAAUAACAAGGUCAUA